UACAGAGGUCUCGAGCGUUGGGCGGAAUCACUGGGCUUAAAGCGCGUGUAGGUGGAUGCCUAAGUACCUUGUGAAAUCCCUCGGCUUAACCGGGGAACUGCGUCCGAUACUGGUUGGCUUGAGUUUGGGAGAGGGAUGCGGAAUUCCAGGUGUAGCGGUGAAAUGCGUAGAUAUCUGGAGGAACACCGGUGGCGAAGGCGGCAUCCUGGACCAAUACUGACGCUGAGGAGCGAAAGCCAGGGGAGCAAACGGG
rnacentral:rRNA from 1 species